rnacentral:rRNA from 1 species
CAGGCCUAACACAUGCAAGUCGAGCGGAAACGGCAGUAUUGAAGCUUCGGUGGAUUUACUGGACGUCGAGCGGCGGACGGGUGAGUAACGGCUGGGAACCUGCCCUGACGAGGGGGAUAACCGUUGGAAACGACGGCUAAUACCGCAUAAUGUCUUAGUUCAUUACGAGCUGGGACCAAAGGUGGCCUCUACAUGUAAGCUAUCGCGUUGGGAUGGGCCCAGUUAGGAUUAGCUAGUUGGUAAGGUAAUGGCUUACCAAGGCAACGAUCCUUAGCUGGUUUGAGAGGAUGAUCAGCCACACUGGGACUGAGACACGGCCCAGACUCCUACGGGAGGCAGCAGUGGGGAAUAUUGCACAAUGGGGGAGACCCUGAUGCAGCCAUGCCGCGUGUGUGAAGAAGGCCUUCGGGUUGUAAAGCACUUUCAGCAGUGAGGAAGGUCGUGUACUUAAUACGUGCACGGCUUGACGUUAGCUGCAGAAGAAGCACCAGCUAACUCCGUGCCAGCAGCCGCGGUAAUACGGAGGGUGCGAGCGUUAAUCGGAAUUACUGGGCGUAAAGCGCAUGCAGGCGGUUUGUUAAGUCAGAUGUGAAAGCCCGGGGCUCAACCUCGGAACCGCAUUUGAAACUGGCAGGCUAGAGUCUUGUAG